CACGUAGGGGGCGAGCGUUGUCCGGAUUUAUUGGGCGUAAAGAGCUCGUAGGCGGCUCGUCGCGUCGACCGUGAAAACCCGCGGCUUAACUGCGGGCUUGCGGUUGAUACGGGCGGGCUAGAGUUCGGUAGGGGGAGACUGGAAUUCCUGGUGUAGCGGUGAAAUGCGCAGAUAUCAGGAGGAACACCGGUGGCGAAGGCGGGUCUCUGGGCCGAUACUGACGCUGAGGAGCGAAAGCGUGGGGAGCGAACAGG
rnacentral:rRNA from 1 species